UACGUAGGGUGCAAGCGUUGUCCGGAAUUAUUGGGCGUAAAGAGCUUGUAGGCGGUUUGUCGCGUCUGCCGUGAAAUUUCGAGGCUCAACCUCGAACUUGCGGUGGGUACGGGCAGACUAGAGUGUGGUAGGGGAGACUGGAAUUCCUGGUGUAGCGGUGAAAUGCGCAGAUAUCAGGAGGAACACCGGUGGCGAAGGCGGGUUCUCUGGGCAUGUCCUGACGCUGAGGAGCGAAAGUGUGGGGAGCGAACAGG
rnacentral:rRNA from 1 species